UCAUCCAAAUCAUCUCUCUCUCUCUUAUCAAAUCAUCAGUACCGGGCCUUUUUCUCUCCUCACUCAACCAUUUCUCUCCAACCAUCUUUGUCGCCAAAGGUCUUUUCUCUGCGAUCUGGGGCUUGCCCUGAUCGAUGAUGAUGCAACACAGUUGAUGAGCCAACCAGAGAUGGAGACAGAGCAUGAUAGAUUUUAGCCAGAAACUUUGGUUUUUGCCGUGAGGGGAGUGCCAAAGAGAAGAACAACGAAGAGGGAGAGAGGGAGAAGGAUACUUUGAUUCUAUAUUUCGAACCGUAGCACUGCCACCUCGAUGUUUUCUGCGUCAUAAUAUCUCCGACUCAUAUCUAGGGGUCUUUUUGCCGCGAUGUAGGGCUCAUUGGUGACCAGUGAUGCGGCACAGUUGGUGGGUCAAUGAUUGAUGUAGAUGGGGUGUGGCUCAUUUUUGCCAGGAACUUCGACUCUAGCAGUGAUGGGAUUGUCGAAGAGAAGAGUGCAAGAACGAGAGGAUUUUUCAUAUGAAGAAGAAAUUAUAAGAGUAGUUAAGACCUAAUUUACUCUAAAAGCAACUUUAGUCUUAGCAGUUCUUCCUGCGUCCAUCUUCAGCUUGUCCGCAAUCCCGGGGUAAGGAUUCUUUCUCCUUGUCAUUGACAUUAUGUUGAGUUCUCAAUGAGGUUUGUUCCAUAAUCAUAAAGAGACAUCACUAUUGAUAUCAAUUUAUUUUUAUAAUUGAUUUUUGUUUGUCUCUUUUAUCAUUGUGAGGCUUAAUUAAAUCAUGGGUACAACAUUGCCUGCUUUACGAUCAAGUAAUAAUUUCUUUGAAGUCAUAUUGUUUAUGUUUUUGCAUAUUUCAUUUCUAGGAACGUAGAGAUAAAAUUGGUAAUCUCAGCAAUCCUUAUGGACUAACAGUUCUUGGCUAUACAAUCGCGUGAUCGUGCGGAUUAUGUGAAGUAUUAGACAACACCGAUAAUUGUCCUCAAGUACAUAGUGUACAACACCAAGUAUUCUCCAAACAAACCAAGUCACCCUUUAUAUCUUCUCAAAAAAGUGGAGAAUUGGUUCAUUGGGUCCUCCAAACUCUACUAACCAAUCAUCACUGAAGUCUUCGAGAUCAAGAAAUCAUUGUUUUUUUGGUCCAAAGAAGGAAAAAUUGGGUGCGUAUUUCAAGGAGGUAAUGAACGAGACAUUGGAAAUAGAUCAACACAAGAUCUAUUUGGUAGAUUGUACCUUACAACAAUUUUGUACUUGCAUUAUGUCUAUUUUAUGUCAAUUUUGUACUUGCAUUAUGUAUAUUUUGUGUUUUUCUCUUCCAACUUGAAUGCUCAUUGCAAGUUCACAUUUCAUGACUCAUAUACCAUGAUAAUGCUUAUUUAUAA